rnacentral:miRNA from 1 species
AAGGUCAGCAACGCUCGUGUCCUUCUUUCGGAUGAUAUUUAUUGACUGAAGUCAUUAAAUAUCAUCCGAAAGAAGGACACUAGCGUUGCUGGCCUU